GAUGAAGAACGUAGCGAAAUGCGAUAAGUAAUGUGAAUUGCAGAAUUCAGUGAAUCAUCGAAUCUUUGAACGCACAUUGCGCCCGCCAGUAUUCUGGCGGGCAUGCCUGUUCGAGCGUCAUUUCAACCAUCAAGCCCCCGGCUUGUGUUGGGGACCUGCGGCUGCCGCAGGCCCUGAAAACCAGUGGCGGGCUCGCUAGUCACUCCGAGCGUAGUAAUACAUCUCGCUCAGGGCGUGCUGCGGGUUCCGGCCGUUAAACGCCUUAUUUACCCAAGGUUGACCUCGGAUCAGGUAGGAAGACCCGCUGAACUUAAGCAUAUCAAUAAGCGGAGGA
rnacentral:misc_RNA from 1 species